rnacentral:rRNA from 1 species
UACGUAGGGGGCAAGCGUUAUCCGGAUUUACUGGGUGUAAAGGGAGCGUAGACGGCAGCGCAAGUCUGGAGUGAAAUCCCAUGGCUUAACCAUGGAACUGCUUUGGAAACUGUGCAGCUGGAGUGCAGGAGAGGUAAGCGGAAUUCCUAGUGUAGCGGUGAAAUGCGUAGAUAUUAGGAGGAACACCAGUGGCGAAGGCAGCAUACCGGCGCCCGACUGACGCUGAAGCACGAAAGCGUGGGUAUCGAACAGG